GAGUUUGAUCCUGGCUCAGAUUGAACGCUGGCGGCAUGCCUUACACAUGCAAGUCGAGCGGCAGCGCGGGGGCAACCCUGGCGGCGAGCGGCGAACGGGUGAGUAAUACAUCGGAACGUGUCCAGUAGUGGGGGAUAACCAGUCGAAAGAUUGGCUAAUACCGCAUACGAUCUACGGAUGAAAGCGGGGGACCGCAAGGCCUCGCGCUAUUGGAGCGGCCGAUGUCGGAUUAGCUUGUUGGCGGGGUAAAAGCCCACCAAGGCGACGAUCCGUAGCUGGUCUGAGAGGACGACCAGCCACACUGGAACUGAGACACGGUCCAGACUCCUACGGGAGGCAGCAGUGGGGAAUUUUGGACAAUGGGGGAAACCCUGAUCCAGCCAUGCCGCGUGAGUGAAGAAGGCCUUCGGGUUGUAAAGCUCUUUCGGCGGGGACGAAACGGUCCGUGACAACACCACGGACUAAUGACGGUACUCGCAGAAGAA
rnacentral:rRNA from 1 species